rnacentral:lncRNA from 1 species
UAUAGUGCGUCUUUCGUCGUUUCGGAUCUACUCAAGUUUUGGUUCUUUUGAGAAAUUUCUCUUGUACUCCGCCUUUCGACAUUAAUAAAGUAUUUGCUCCGCGCGUCUUCACCCAUGAACGUAGGCCGUUGGCCGAACCACGUAAAUAUCAGUGUGCUAUUUCCUUAUCUUUUUCGUUUUCCUGCAUUAAAUUAUUUUCUGGAUCUAUUUUUCACCGUUCCGAUUUUAAUAGUGAACUUUGUCGUCGGCCUGAAUCGCAUCAUUUUGAUCAUCAACAUACUCUUCACGAAUUUGAUUUUCUUCAUGAUUGUGAUCAGAUUUUUCUUUCCAAAUUUCUUUGCAAAUUGGGGCUUCAGUAUCUUCGCUGUUGGGUUGAAUUUCUUCUUCUUGAAUUUCAUUCUCUUGCUGAAAAUAUUCUCCUCCAAUUUUCGAUAGCAUUCUCCACGCUUCUCGUGCCGUCUCUAUCGUUGAAAUUUUUUCAACCAACGAUAGAUCCACUGCUUGCAAAAUAUAUUAUAGAACUUCUCUUUCUCUUUUUCUAAAUUCUUCUUUAUUAAAUUUUUUUUCAUAAUUUCUAUUCUCCACCACAUCCCACAAAUCUUGGGAUUCUAAAAAACAUCGAAUUAUGAAUUUCUAUCGUUUAAAGUUUGUUCCAUCGAACUUUGGUAAGUCAGGCUGAAUAAACAAAUUAUCUAAGUCCAUAACAAAAACUUGAUAAUCUGAAAAAUAAGUUUCAGAUUUGUACCUUUCUGUUUGGAUGACAUACUUAGUUCAUCAAGAUCUCACCGAAUUUUUUGUACUUCGGCUUGCUUGCCUAGCCUUCCUGGCUAUUUGGUCAAGUCUUCUUGAAUCUCUUCAGGGGUUCUCCUCGCUCUCUUUUCGUCAAGCGUCACAACCAUCUGCUGUCGUUUGUUGUGUGGAGGCCAACUUCUUCAAAGCGAUUCCUUCGCUUUGGUUUUACCUGAACGUCACCUUCGUUGAUCAACUACGAGUCGCUUGAUUUUGACGUAGCUAUCCGGUACAUUGGAUCUAUGUUCUUUUCGAAUAUGCCAUCAUCUAGUUUAUAAGUCACAUGAUACUUUCUGGCUCUCUUCAGCUCGAAUGCAAAUUGUUGGAAGUGUGAUUUGCUCUGAUACUACUUGUUGGAACUGAUAUUUGUGCUAAUACCGAUUAUAUAACCCAAUAUCUAAAAUAGAACAAAAUAAUAUGGAGAAGAGAGAUUGGAGGAGGAAGAAAUAACUAAACUAAUAAGUAAUUAAUUACAUUUUGAGUAACACCUAUGCAGCCGUGUCUACCAUGGCUUAUUCUUCUAAUUAAUCCAUGCCUAACUAUAUGUAGCCAUCAAAUCAUAACAGAUGAUAAAUCCAAUUUUACUUUGGAUAACUACACAUCUUAACCAUAAUCAAAUAAAGGUUUAAACUUAUCUCUAAUUAUAUUUUAAUUAAGUUU